rnacentral:rRNA from 1 species
UACGUAGGGCGCAAGCGUUGUCCGGAAUUAUUGGGCGUAAAGAGCUCGUAGGCGGCCUGUUACGUCUGCUGUGAAAUCCCGGGGCUUAACCCCGGGCGUGCAGUGGAUACGGGCAGGCUGGAGGCAGGCAGGGGAGAACGGAAUUCCCGGUGUAGCGGUGAAAUGCGCAGAUAUCGGGAGGAACACCGGUGGCGAAGGCGGUUCUCUGGGCCUGUACGUGACGCUGAGGAGCGAAAGCGUGGGGAGCGAACAGG